CCCCUAUGCUUGAGUUGGUUCACUGCAUCGAACUGUUGCUCGUGGAAUCGUUUUGGACAUCAGCUUGCUGAUUGUGGCAUUCACCAUUUGUUCCUGCUUAUCCCCUCUACAGUUUCUGGUUUAAGUGUAUGAAGUGUGGUAGGCUUGAGAUAGUGUUUGAUCGUACAAUGUACUGUACACCGAGAUGAUCGAUAGUAUGCAUUUUACCCACCUAAGCGCGUGAAUGAGAUUUGUUCUGCAAUACUUGUUCUGCAAUACUUGUACUAUGACGGUACUGAGUAUGCCUAUUUUGAUAUUCAUAGUAGACAAUCAAUAUGUUAUUGUUUUCGGAUAGUCGUAAUUGAGACAUGUAUAGCUUGUUUUGUUUGGUGGCUCCUGGAGUCCUGGUGCUAUCAACCGCACUCUGUGAAUGCAUUGUUUGGCUGGGUGAUGAUUUUGUGCUCUCUGUACAGCAUGCUGCCGAUAUAAAUGCCGCGAACCAGACUGGACAGACAUCACUUCUCUGGAGUUCUGUACCUGGUUAUGUGCAAGUUGUCGAACUACUUUUGAAAGAAGAAGCUAAGGUGGAUGUUGCUGAUUCAUAUGGCUCGCAGCCUCCCUCUAAGAUGGUGAAUCAGAUAAUUGCAACAACUUCUUUAUUUGUCAGUGAGCAUGGUGGAUAAUCAGAGAUUGUGUUAAGGGUGAAGCAAGGAAGUAGCCCAACAUUUGGAUUCUUGAUGCCUGACCAUCGUCUCCGCAGCUACUUCUGGUACAUUGUUGAUCAUCCUCAGCUGUUGAAAGAUGGCUCAGACGCUGACACCAAUAGGGUCAACAAAACUGUUAUGAGCGAGAGUGAGCAUGCCGCUUCAUCAGGUGGAGCUUUAUCAUUGCUUGGAUCCAUCUACGAGUCUGCAGAUGAGGAUGAAGAUGUGCUUCCAGCUUUAUUGAAAAGCACUGAUCAUGGAAAGGAUGCUGUUUUACAUGAGAAAGGCCACAAAGGCUGUGCAUCCCGAAAAAGAGUAAACAGUAGCAAAAGAAGCUUUGACUGCUGCUCACCACAAAGGCCACCAUCAUUUAUAAAGGGCACAGUGGAGAAAAUUGUCGAGAUUAUUCUCAGGAACCGAAAGGAGUUUGAAGAAAAGCUCAUUGCGCAAGAAAGGAUGACAGGGAGGUUUCCAUUUCUUCUGCCCAAUAAUCCAUAUCAUUCUUACUAUCUCAAGAUUCUCCAAGAAACCCAAGAGGGCAUGGAAACGGUGGGUGUGGGCAUGAGCUUGGUGCCGCUCAGAGUGCAAGAGUUACAGGAGGACUUGCUUUGGGCUCGCGGCCGCAUGCACAGGCUGCGGGAGGUGCGGCAUGCCCCAUACAGAGUGUUGCGAAGGAGGAGCACGACCUCGAGCCCGCCGCGCGAGAUGACGAUUACAUCAGCCCGAGGAUCUACAUGUGUGAGGAGCCCUGUGCCACGACACCACACCACAUCUGCGACAUGGAAGACCAUAAUAUUAGGCUGACCUCACCGCUUUUAGGGACGAAAGCCGCUGGCCGAGAUGGUUCUUCAGUGUUAAUAUUGGUCGGUUGAUUUGGCCACGGUCUGUCAAACUGGCGGUUACUAAUUAACCUAAGCAAAAGGGAACAUCUAGGGUAGACUCCAUAUGUAGGUUGUAUUUUUCUGUAGGUAAAGAAAAUAGAGAUAUGUAUAUGUUCUCCCAAAGCUUAGUGGCAAUGUUUGUUUUUCAUUUGUGAACUAGAUUAGUCUCACAGUUCUUUGGUUCAUGCAAUUGAGAUUCUGCUUCAAAGGGUUCUAUCUUUGUACUUUGUUUCUACAUAGAAUUCGCACACAUCUUAAAAGAAUAAUAUCACAUCUUUUAGUUUAAUCAUAUGUAUGCUGCAUGCUUUCAAUUUGUAUAAAUGUUCAGUAUAGUAUUUUAUAAACCCGUUUACCAAUGCAGAAAACGGUGGAAGGGCGCCAAGGCGUGCCCCUAAAUUUUUUGGUACCUGCUGUUGAAGGUGAACGUGUGCAAGUACAACGAAUUCAUUACUGCCGCAGUUCGUCCUAAGACAAACAACUCUCUUCAUCUGAUGUCCAGACGGUACAUCAACGCAGGCAUCCCUCAAAUAAUUGUCCUCCCUGCUAGAGUCGACCAUUGAACCCAACGCAAAUUCUUCGUUGGCUACCAAUAUUGCUCUGCGUCACCAAGUAGGCGACUAUCUGAGGAAAUCUCUUUCUGAAUUGAUCAACUUCACUCUCUUGCAUGUGAUUGUUUGGAGAAAAUGAUGGGCUCCUAUUCCUGAACUUACAAUUGUUAUGCACUCAUGUAGUGUAAGGUUGUUUAUAGCCUCUUUCAGUUUGUCCAUUUUGUUGCUUUUGACUGGUAUCACCAUUAUCUGCUAGGUUAAUUAGAUUGAUAUCUUUGAAA